ACUUGGCCAGUUUGACGAGCUCUCCAAGCCAUGGAUUCGCAAACUUCUCGAAGGUUAUUCAAGCAGAGUUUUGAACGCCAAAUCACUGAUUUCAAACCAAAUCAAUUUUGGUUGCAGAAUAUCUGUUAGAGAAUAGUACACUCACCACUUCCGGGAGUUCUCACAACGCGAUUUCUCUCAGUGCAAUGACGCUUCACUUCACUGCUCCCCAAUGCACUUCAUCACACAGGAACAAAUCAAACAGGACGAACGUUUUACCGUUUCCCCAAAGAUAAUGGAGUAACGCUAUGUCGACAAUGGAUAAUAAACAUCAGAAGGGAUCCAGAUAGUAAUUUUAAGAUAAGCGCAUACACAAAAGUGUGCUCGGAGCAUUUCCUCCCAGACUGCAUUGUGAAAAGCAAGACUGGCAUCACCAAGCUGAAACGGGGAGCUGUGCCAACUGUGUUUGCAUGGAGUGUUGUUAGAACUGCAAGUAAUGUUUCCACGGAUCUCGAUGAUCGACAUGGUGUGAAUGUGUUGAGUGAAGAGACACCCCCUCCGCACCCAGACCAUGAAUAUGCUGCACUGCCUCCCUCACUUCAAGAUCAACUUGAGGAAGCCCACAAGACCAUUGGUGAUCAAGAACUUUUAAUUUUAGAGCUUCAACAAAAACAGUUUUUGAUUUCAAAUUUUCAAGUUGAAACAGAUUUCAUUUUAUACAGGGUUCAUAGAUUAUGAUUCAUUUAAAGCUGUGUUUAUGGCCCUGCAACCUACUGUAGAAAACAUGGUAGGGGUGGAGUCGGGCUCAACUCAGAUCUCGGAGUUAUAUUUAUGUAGUUGAUAACAGAAGCCUUGUGGUUCAUUCUACAGGAUAAAUAUCAAUAUAAUCCAAAAGGUUUCUUUAAAAGCCUCAUACCUAGCAAACACCCCUAACGUUAGAACCAGAACAUUGCAGGGAUGUUAUUUUUAAAUAACUACAGAACAUUUCCCAUUGUUUAUAUUUUAGGUUAUUUAGCAUCAUUAAAUGGUAAUUCACAUAAUGCAAAAUUUUAAAAAAAGUAGUCCCGUUGAAUUUUGACGCUGUCUCGUUCCCCUUUUUUGGAACCAUGGUCACAGUCGUAACCUGAGAUGUUCCCUUUUGAAGCGGAACUUCAACACUGCGCCUUGAAUUAAUGUUAUGGGGAACAAAUACCCACUACGCCAUGCUGAGAGUGCCUGCAAAUCAAGGGCACAUUCACAAAGACUCAGAAUGUCUAGUGGUACCUCUCCUUCAGGGGAGCUUAACCCUAUUUAAAGACCUCAGAAUACAGGGGGAGGUAGCUUGAACCCCACUUUAGGUAAAACACUGAUCUAGGACCUGUCAGUGCUUUGUUUUUCUCUAUUAGUGUUAGCUAUU